rnacentral:rRNA from 1 species
GUUUGAUCCUGGCUCAGGAUGAACGCUAGCGGCAGGCUUAACACAUGCAAGUCGAGGGGUAUAGUUCUUCGGAACUAGAGACCGGCGCACGGGUGCGUAACGCGUAUGCAAUCUACCUUUUACAGAGGGAUAGCCCAGAGAAAUUUGGAUUAAUACCUCAUAGUAUUAUGAAAUGGCAUCAUUUUAUAAUUAAAGUCACAACGGUAAAAGAUGAGCAUGCGUCCCAUUAGCUAGUUGGUAAGGUAACGGCUUACCAAGGCUACGAUGGGUAGGGGUCCUGAGAGGGAGAUCCCCCACACUGGUACUGAGACACGGACCAGACUCCUACGGGAGGCAGCAGUGAGGAAUAUUGGACAAUGGGCGCAAGCCUGAUCCAGCCAUGCCGCGUGCAGGAUGACGGUCCUAUGGAUUGUAAACUGCUUUUAUACAGGAAGAAACACUGGUUCGUGAACCAGCUUGACGGUAUCGUAAGAA